UACGUAGGGUGCGAGCGUUGUCCGGAAUUAUUGGGCGUAAAAGAGCUCGUAGGCGGUGUGUCACGUCGGCCGUGAAAACCUGCAGCUUAACUGUGGGCUUGCGGUCGAUACGGGCAUCACUGGAGUUCGGCAGGGGAGACUGGAAUUCCUGGUGUAGCGGUGAAAUGCGCAGAUAUCAGGAGGGAACACCCGGUGGCGAAGGCGGGUCUCUGGGCCGAUACUGAC
rnacentral:rRNA from 1 species